UACGUAGGGGGCUAGCGUUGUCCGGAAUCAUUGGGCGUAAAGAGCGUGUAGGCGGUUCGGUAGGUCCGUUGUGAAAACUCGAGGCUCAACCUCGAGACGCCGAUGGAAACCAUCGAACUAGAGUCCGGAAGAGGAGAGUGGAAUUCCUGGUGUAGCGGUGAAAUGCGCAGAUAUCAGGAGGAACACCGAUGGCGAAGGCAGCUCGCUGGGACGGUACUGACGCUGAGGCGCGAAAGCGUGGGGAGCAAACAGG
rnacentral:rRNA from 1 species